CAACAAAAUUUAAAUACGUAAGAAUCAAUAAAUAAUAUUGAAAAUUUGAAAUCCCAUAGAACUGGGCAAAAAAUCGGACUGAAUACUCGAACCGUAAUUAUUCCGAAAAUUGGACUUGAAUUCGAAUCGGAAAAUUCA
rnacentral:sRNA from 1 species